AUUUUACAACAAAAUAAUUCGCCAGAGGACUACUAGCAACAGCUUAAAACUCAAAGGACUUGGCGGUGCUUUAUAUCCCUCUAGAGGAGCCUGUUCUAUAAUCGAUAAACCCCGAUAAACCUCACCACCUUUUGCUAAUUCAGUCUAUAUACCGCCAUCUUCAGCAAACCCUCAAAAGGUAGAACAGUAAGCACAAUCAUUUUACAUAAAAAAGUUAGGUCAAGGUGUAACUUAUGAGGUGGGAAGAAAUGGGWUACAUUUUCUACCCAAGAACAUUUCACGAAUGUUUUUAUGAAAUUAAAAACUGAAGGAGGAUUUAGCAGUAAAUUAAGAAUAGAGAGCUUAAUUGAAUAG
rnacentral:rRNA from 1 species